UCCCCUAGUAACGGCGAGUGAAGAGGGAAAAGCUCAAAUUUUAAAUCUACCUGGUUUUUCCCAGGUCGAGUUGUAAUUUGAAGAAGCGAUAUCGGUGUUGAGGUCUGGUUUAAGUUCUUUAGAACAAGACAUCAUGGAGGGUGAGAAUCCCGUGCAUGAUCAGACCAAGAUACUAGUAUACGCUUUCCAAGAGUCGAGUUGUUUGGGAAUGCAGCUCAAAAUGGGUGGUAGACUUCACCUAAGGCUAAAUAUCAGCGAGAGACCGAUAGCGAACAAGUACUGUGAAGGAAAGAUGAAAAGAACUUUGAAAAGAGAGUUAAAUAGUACGUGAAAUUGUUGAAAGGGAAACGAUUGAAGUCAGUCAUGCCAGUGAAAACUCAGUUUGUCGGUGAUCUAGUUCAGGAGUAGAGGCAGGGUCAAACCGUCUCUCUUUUGGACGGGAUUUUUGGCAGAUGGAAUUUUUUUCUGACAGGUCAGCGUCGGUUUCGGGGGGUUGUAAAAUACUUGGGGUAAGUGGCUCUGCUUCGGGAGAGUGUUAUAGACCUUUGGGGAUGCAGCCCGCGGGAUCGAGGAUUGCAGCAAAUGCCUU
rnacentral:rRNA from 1 species